GCAGGUGUAGUCCAACGGUUAGGACAUCAGCCUUCCAAGCUGAGGACGGGGGUUCAACUCCCCUCACCUGCUCCA
rnacentral:tRNA from 1 species